UAAUUAUGAUAUAGAGAUAAAAUGCUACAAUUACUGCACUCAUGUUUGAUCAGAACCCAUUUGUAAUUCAAAUCUAUAAAACGGGAUCAAAAUUCAUGAAGUCUUCAUCUGAUCCAUACUAGUGCUACUUAAUUAUCAGUCCAUUAUGUAAAAUGCUCGGAUUGUUGAUCAUCAUUGCCAGGCCUAUUUCCAUUUCACUCCUUGGUUUAUUUUAAUGGCAUAUUUGUUUUCGGAACGAUUCUCGUUGUUUGAGUUUCUUUUUUAUACAUAAUGAAUUCUACCAUGAGACGAUUUGGUUUGGAAAUGGGUUCCAUUGAGGAUUUAAGCAAAAAUGGGAUAAUCGAAACUAUUAUUGAUUAAAACGACGUCUGUUAUUGGUGUUGCUGCUUCUUUUGUUCCAGCUGGCGAGAUUUUUCCAGCAUCAACAUAUAUAGUUGGGGUUUUCAAAAAUCAUUGUUUCUAUACUUCUCAAUCACAAGAUAAAAUAUAUAUCCAUG